GAGGUGUGGAAGGACGACCUGUCGCUGCCUGGCAAAAGGAUCCCCUCGGGUCGCAGUUCAGCGGUGCUCUCUCCUCUCUCCUACUCGGCCUCUUUGGAUCAUCCCGUGCUCUCUCUGCUCCAGCCAAUAGUUCUACCUACGAUUACCUCCGCUGUUCGCCUGUGCAUCGUGUGCCGUUUUACCUAGGCCCCUUCAACCCCUCUUCUGGCGCUCCCCCUCUACCUCCUCAUGGACUGUACAGGUCCACCAUGUUUGCAGAAACUGUGAGGAAGUGGAGGGAGGACUGGUCAACCAAUUUCAGAUUCUGUCAUGUGUUUCGAUUUUGUGGGGGAGUACCCAGCUUACGAUUUUGGUCUUAUGAUUUGGUGUGUCAAUGCGGGGAUUGAAACCUAUAUGUGUGUGUUGAACUGGAAUGAGGAACAAACGUCGUUCGCUGCCAACUCAUAAUUGGUGAGUUCCUCUCACUCCUUGGAUUCAUUUGUUUAUGGUAUGCACAUCUAGGUUAAGAUAUGUUGUGUAUCUCACCUCUUGAUUUUUUUUCGGAAUGUCUCACCUCUUGAUGUGACCUUAGUUUCACCUAUAAGUCUGAAUCUAUGAACUAUUUCAACUUAAUAACUCGGAAUCCAUUAUUUGCGGGGAUUGUACUGUAAGUACAUAAUCAGACACGUCCCUUCUGGAAGUAUGUAUAUCUGAUCUCUUGAUUGAAUUUCUUCACUGUUAUUCCUUACAGCAAUGCUGGGGGCUUUCAAAAUAUCCAGCUGAUUGAUCACUUUGUGAUUAUACAAUUCGGAGGCAAAUACUGAUUAUGCGAUACAUGAGAGCUCCUAAUUUGAUCUUCUGCAGACAUAGUACGCCGUGAUUUCCUUUUGUAUCUAUGAUCUCAUCCUGUGGCAGAAGGGAGAUUGGCUUCAUUUUUGUUGUGGGUUGUUGUAUUUAAUUAUGGAUUUUUUGGGGUAUUGAAAAUCAUACUUAUGAGCAAAUAGCUAGAACUAUAGUUCCCCUGGGUGUCUUAACAAGUAAAUGAUUGAGAGCAUAAUCAUAUAUCAAUUCAGAUCAAAAGUGCUAGAUCAAUGAAUGCAUGCUUAACAUGUGAGUCCUGUAUUCUGUUUAUGGGUUCCUCUUCUAUUCUGAGCAAGCUUUCUAUUUCCAUGGAUCAUUUAUAAAUUUAGAAUUGAGACAGAUGCUUAUUUUGCCAAAAGUUUGGUUGUUGUUGUGUUGUUCUGUCGAUUGUUGACUGUGCCAUUCGUUGAAAUAUCCUGUUCUGCUUGGUAUCCAAUCUCAAAAAAAUCAUUGUUGGAGGACCCUGAGGUGUACCUCGAGCAACAUACAGCUAUGGAUGGUAUGGUUAUAUGCUUUCGAGAAGUUACCCACUGAUUUGUGCACACACUUUCAGUUUACCUUCGCGUUUACGUGUGAUCAUUCAUGUUUGGAAUUUUGGCAUCAGGGGUGUUCUAAUUUUCUCAUGCUAAAAGAAGAGAGACUCAGCCUUCAUGUUUGCAGUUCACUAACUUAAUUCUUUUCUGUUUAUUUGGAGCGACAAAUACAUUAUCACUUUGUAGAUCCAGUUUUGUAACUGUGAGAAAGGUGUGUCUCCUUCUGGUUCACCCUCAGACGUGGCACCGGAGCCAUACUCUGUAGGACGCUGACUAUGCUAUCACUUAAGUUGCUGUUGAUUGCGUUUGCUGGUCGUUCUUUGGUGGGUACUUCUACUGGGUUACCGUCGGUCGGCCCCGUCAUUUUUUAGAGGGCACCUCUUCGGAGCCUCGGCCAGGUCUUUGCGGGGGUGUUUUGCAGAUGUAACCUCUUCAUCUUUUUGCCAAUGAAUUUGCCUCUUUGGCUUGGUGGUGUCCUUUCGAACACGGUUUUCCAGCCGAUGUAUAUGGACAUAGUACUUGGCUCCCUGUCCUAUUGUUGCAUUCUUCUUGACAGCAUUCUACUUGGCAUUCUUCUUACAUGGGCAUCUCAAGAAUAUCAUCAACAAACGGGUUAAAUUUACUUGCAGUCGAUGAAAAUGGUGCACCCGCUACUGUGCAGAAAUAUUUCAUAUGAGGAUGUACUUGGCCAUCCGUAGAGAGCAUGUUUUGCAUCAAAAGAAUCAGCUGUGCUGGGUAUUCCUUUUACUGUCUAGACAUUUUCAAGACCGUGCUUCACCUGUGCCCAGUCGUAAUUAUGUACCGCUUGUGCAGCGUAGUUUAUUUGUUAUUUUAAACUGAAGUCUUCUGUAGUAAUAACGGCUGCUAGAUAAGCUUACCUACCUACGGUUCGAUCUGACUCUGGAUAACGACAGCUAUGU